rnacentral:rRNA from 1 species
GACGAACGCUGGCGGCGUGGAUUAGGCAUGCAAGUCGAACGGUAUCAUCCUUUCGGGGGUGAGAGAGUGGCGAACUGGUGAGUAACACGUAGGUUAUCUACCCUCAAGACGGGGACAACCCAGGGAAACUUGGGCUAAUACCGGAUGUGAGCAACUUUUUAGUUGUUUGAAAGGUGGCGUAAGCUGUCGCUUGGGGAUGAGCCUGCGUCCUAUUAGUUAGUUGGUGAGGUAACGGCUCACCUAGGCAAUGAUAGGUAGGCGGCCUUAACGGGUGGUCGCCCACACUGGGAUUGAGAUACGGCCCAGACUCCUACGGGAGGCAGCAGUCGAGAAUAGUCUACAAUGGUCGGAAGACUGAUAGUGCGACGCCGCGUGAACGAUGAAUCCCUUCGGGGUGUAAAGUUCUUUUAUAUGUGAGCAGUGCUUCUUAUAUUAACAGUAUGGGGAGAGAGAUAUUAGCAUAUGAAUAAGCAACGGCUAACUCCGUGCCAGCAGCCGGUAAUCUCG